CUUUGGGUAUAUGAGUGUAUGAAAAUUCGACUCAAGCUCCUGUUAACACUUGAUCUUUCUUUUGAAUCGCGAAUAGCAUUGACUCCGAUAUCUCGGUUCAAUUUUUUUGAGUAAAUAGUAAACGUACGUUUCAUAAAACUAACUUUAACAAAAAAUUAUCUACUUAGUGAAUUAGUUCUCACUUGGAUAAAUACUUGUUUUUGUCAAGCUUUUAGCAUGGUCAAUUGAUAUCAAAAGGAACUCACUCCAAAAAAAAUCGACCCCACUUGGGUCCAUGAACCUCUCUUGUCUUGCAUCUCUCAAGGACUGGAUGGAUGUGGGGGUUCGGGGAAUCAAGAGUUUUCAAUGGAGUAAGUGCAAUCAAAUAAAUCAAAGCGACAAAGGAUUAGAGCGAGGAGACGAGAAAAGAUGGAAAUACAAUGAGUAAAUUCGUAUUAAAAUUGAUAUCGUUUUAACGAAGGAAAA